UGGACAAAUUAUUGUAUUCGACUGUAUUCACGGCGUGAAACAGGGGAUUACGCUGUUUUUAAACGAAAAGUGAAUCAAUUAACAUAAUAGACUCCU
rnacentral:pre_miRNA from 1 species